GCCUUCAAGAAUAUUAUUCAAUGGGCGGAAGCYUGAACCAGCCAUGCCGCGUGCAGGAAGACGGCCCUACGGGUUGUAAACUGCUUUUGCASGGGAAUAAACCCCCAUACGUGUAUCSGGCUGAAUGUACUCUGAGAAUAAGGAUCGGCUAACUCCGUGCCAGCAGCCGCGGUAAUACGGAGGAUCCAAGCGUUAUCCGGAUUUAUUGGGUUUAAAGGGUGCGUAGGUGGCCUGUUAAGUCAGGGGUGAAAGACGGUAGCUUAACUAUCGCAGUGCCCUUGAUACUGWAGRGCUUGAAUGGACUAGAGGUAGGCGGAAUGUGACAGUAGCGGUGAAAUGCAUAGAUAUGUCACAGAACACCGAUUGCGAAGGCAGCUUACUAUGGUUUAUUGACACUGAGGCACGAAAGCGUGGGGAUCAAACAGGAUUAGAUACCCUGGUAGUCCACGCCCUAAACGAUGAAUACUCGAUGUUGGCGAUAUACGGUCAGCGUCUAAGCGAAAGCGUUAAGUAUUCCACCUGGGGAGUACGCCCGCAAGGGUGAAACUCAAAGGAAUUGACGGGGCCC
rnacentral:rRNA from 1 species